GAGUUGCUAUGAGAGUUUGUAAAUGAGUGGAAUUUACUUUUCUAUGCAAUCGCUUUCAUUUUCAUUGAUUAAAAUGUUCAACACUCAACUUUGCUUUUGCACUUACGUUCUGCACCUCUAAUUUAAUUUGUGUUUCUGGUUUCCAUCUUUUAAGUUCAUUCAGUUUAGAUUGAAUAGAGAAAGGUUUCUCAUUGAAAUUCUCAAUAUAUAUACUUGUGUGAUGGUCAGUUUUGUUUUGGUGUGAGAUGCAUGCUUAUAUGCCAUUAUGGAAGCUGUGAAAGUAGGGUACAUUACUUUAGUAUUGUCUUUACUUGGACAUGACCUUUCUCUGUUAUUUUCUCACCUGAUGAAUAACUUUUGGUAAAGGAUGCNUUUGGUUCAGUGAAACUUUGUUUACGAAUAUGAAUUAUUAUGAGAGCCUCACAUUAAUUAAUUUUCAUGGAGUAUGUAUUUAAAUAAUUAACUAUUAUUUCACCCUAAUAUAUUCUUUCAGUGAUUGCUAUAGAUGAUUAUUUAUCUUGUAAAUAUGAUAUUCACUGAUUGCUACUGCACUUUUUUUUAAUGUUGUCGUGGGUAUAAUUGGGUUGCAUUUCCAUCUUUUAGGCCCCAAGAGGGUGAAGUUAUUUUCUAACAAGGAGAAUAUGGGAUUUAGGAAUAGUGUUUUUUUGGCAAAUCUCUGUGUCUCGGCACUUUUGUCACGGGAUUCAAUUAGUUGUUGAAUCCUUUCUAUCAGGUUCGAUUACUCAUCCUUUCUCAUCUANAACUUUUAGUUUCUUCUACUAUUAGUGUAGAACUAUUAAAUUCAUUACUAAUUGUAUUAUUAUCUUCUUCCCCUAAUUUUGUUUCUCAUCAUUGAUUUCUCUAAAACCUCAGACAUGGCAAUAAUGAUAUUGAGGUUUCUAUUAAGCUUUAUUGAUUUGAUGAUCUCAAUUUUUGCGGAUGGACAUGACAAUAGGUUUGCUUAUGUUACUUUUACCUUUGUGAAACAUGAGAAGGAUCAAUAAGGUAUGCUUAGAUAUGCAUAAACAAGUCAAUUUUCUUCAAUGUGAUAUAUGAUUGCAGGCUAUAUAUAGGGAGAAUAUCAAAUAAAAGUAACUACAAGUGCCCUGGCCUUGUUGCUAACCAGCAGGUACAACGAAUUAGGAAAAAUACNUGUCCAAGCCAUCUAAUUAAGGUAUUACUAUUAUAUAAUUUAUUUCUUUGUUCCCUUUUUUCUUCAACCUGGGGUGGGAGUACUUUUGUUGAUUUCCCAAGCUUAUUGCCUCGUGAAGUCUGGUGAGGGACCAGAAGAUCAAAAGCUAAAUCAACUCUGAAUCAAUGGUAAUAUUACCACUUCCCACCAAGGUAAUUCUUUUCAUUAUACAUAGUUGUUUGAACAUGUUAUGUUGACAUCCAAUUAUAUUACUAAUUGACUGGAGAGAAUAAUGAACCAAAGUUUUAUUGAUCAAUAUUUUGUGAGUUAUAUUUGUUGUGAGUUUUAGAGUUUAAAGUGUUAUCUUUGAUGAAUGGUAUGAUCCAGAAAGCUUUGAAAAGCCAUUCCUUGUAUGCAUAUCUGAAUUUUAUGCUGCUGAAGGUGUGAAAUACAUGCAUCAAUCAGAUGCUCCAGAUUAUUUGAAGCAUGUGGAGGUGUUUUCUUUUUCAUAGUCCGUUGUAUUAUUUUAUUGGCUUUAGUUUUUUACUAAAUUGUUUAAUAAAUGGAUUNUGUCAUUCAAUAUCAGAGUUUGAUCUUAUAAAAGUUAUCUUUCUUUUUCAAUUCUUCCCUUGCNCAUAUUGUGUACUUAUUGCAGGGAUGUUUGUGGGUGCUUCUUCUGCAGAUAUGAUUGCAAGAAGAACAUGAAAGAUGUUUGAUUUUCCAGAUAAGACUGUCCACAUUAGUCCAAGUCUUUCUUCAGCACUUAGCAAGUUUUAGUGGAUACGACCCUCACCGGGAUCGUGCCAGUCUCGGGUAUAUAUUAUCANGCUUCCCAUUGAAAUUGUUUGGCACCCUUGCUUUUCCAAAGGAGAGGUAAUAUAGAAACAAUUUAUUUUCUGAGUGAUACUUUUCAGUGAUGGUAGUGAAGUAUUUUUGGCUGGUGCAUGAUUCGAUUGAUUUUAUAUCCCUCUUGUAGGUGUUGUUGUGUUAGUUUUCAUUUAAUAAAUAUCCCAAGACAGAAAGCCCCAGCCAAUCUUCUGGAAAUAUCUCAACCUAAUAUAGGCAUGAAUAAGAACUGUUACUGCUGUAUGAUUAUGUGUAAGUGACUGGCAAUCCUAUUUGCAUAAACAUAAUGUCUGCAAAAGAUGGUUGAGUUAUUGUUUUUAUAAAUUAUUUAAAUCUAAUUUGUUGUUUUGUUCAAACUUCCCAGUUUGUACUAUAAAGAAUCUUCUGAAUGUUGAUCGGGUGAUGUGCCUGAGGGUAAAAUCCUCAAACAACGGCCUAUCCUGAUUGCAGCGUCAAUGCGGAGCUAUGGAGCUUAUUUAGCUUACAGUCAGAGUACAGGUGAAAUGAUUAAGAUUUAUUCUUUAGCAUUGGUCGUGGUUUGUUUUCUUGUAGUGUUGUGGGCAUUUUAUCUUAUCUNUUAUAGCCCAUGUAUUGACUAACAAUCAAGAUCAUAUACUUUAUGGUUAUUNUAUGUUGUGUUUCCAAGCUCAAAUGUUUAGCUUUGUAAUACAUGCAUAUUCAUCUAUGUAUUCAACUAAUCUGUGUUAUUUUUAAAUAUUAGAAAGUAGUUCAUGACUAAUUGUUUGUAAAUCAUACCUAAAAGACAGGAAUCUGAUUUUAAAGUUGCUUGGCAUUUGUUUCUACAACUUUUAUUCUCAUAAUUUAAUAAAAGUUGUUGGCAGAUUGUUUUUCUAUAAGAUUCUAAAGUCCCCCCUUUGGGCCACUCAUGUGCAUCAUACCAUUCAUCCAUACUAUGUCACAAAUGUCACAUGUCAUGUGCAUUACAUGCAUACAUGAGUUCAAUGUUGAACAGAGGUUUGAUUUGAUAUACUUGUUUAGGAAUUUUGUUGAGAUUUGGUUUGAUAUACUUGUUUAGGAAUUUUGUUGAGAUUUGGUUUGAUAUACUUGUUUAGGAAUUUUGUUGAAAUGCCAUCAAUGAAUUGGAGAGAGUGGCUGACAACUGGUUUGGGGCGUGUUGUUACUCUUUUAGAGGAGUAAGUGAGAAGAUGGUGAUGAGGUAUGUCAGUUCAUAUACAUGCAUGCUGGGGGUCUAUCUAUUAACUUCUGCUUCUAUCACUAUUUGCAAGGAUAAUAUUGUGGAAUAUAAUUUUCCAGAAGGGUGUGGAAAGCAAAAAUGUACUUAUGUAGCAGAAAACCCGAGAGAUGAUGGUAUUCAACCCUAAAAUACUCUAAAAUGACACACAUCUAGAAUCCUCUACCAGGGUGGUUGAGUUUGUUUAUGUUACUGUUAGAAUAUAAAGAAUCAAGAGACUAAUACUACAUUACUAGUAUAAAAGUAAGGGUGAUUACUCUCUACUUUUGAAAUUUGUUUGCUUCUUUAUUAGGCUCAUCACCUUAAUUUGAUGCAUUUGUAAAACCAAUAAUAUAUAGUGAUCAGUAGUUAUUGUCCAUUGGCAUGCUAUAUCAGCUUGAGUGUUUUCUAUUUACCUUUCUAUUAUUGGUUUGCAGGAUCUUGUGGAACUGUGUAUCAUGUGUGCUAAUCCUAUUAAACAUUAUUAUUAAAGUGACAAUUUGCUCCUCUAAUAAAUACUAAUUUGAUUCUGAUGUUAAUAACUUUAACUACUUUAUAAAUUUUUGCUAUUUUUNUUAUUAUAUCACGCAUUACUAUAUUAUAAAAUUGUGACUUAUAAAUACUUAAUUUGAAAAUUUAUUUUCUCUUAUGGUGUGACAGGAUAUAAUUCAUCACUACAAAAAAAUAAAUAAUAAUUUAUACUAAUAGUCAUUCAAGACAUGAAUUACAUACUAGAUAGUAAUUGCUAGUUUCUAAACCAUUUUCAUUGUUUGUUUUAAAGUAUAACCUUUUUCUAUUUCUAAAAAAACAUUAUAUAUACCAGAUAAUUAUAUAUGUGUUUUUCUUAUACAUAUGUUUCAGAAUUUAUUUCUUUGAAAUGACAUGCUUAGAAAAUAAUUAACAAAGAUAAUAACAACUUUGGCUUGAAUUUAUUUCUUUGAAAUGACAUGCUUAGAAAAUAAUUAACAAAGAUAAUAACAACUUUGGCUNUAAUUAACAAAGAUAAUAACAACUUUGGCUUGAAUUUAUUUCUUUGAAAUGACAUGCUUAGAAAAUAAUUAACAAAGAUAAUAACAACUUUGGCUACUUACAUCAUUCUUUUAGUUCAGGGACUGUUUAGGAUGUGACAAUUCUGUUAUUAAUGAAUGACGAAAAAACCUUAUAUUUUACUGCAUUAUUAAGGUCCAAUAGAACAUAUAAAGAUAGNAAAACAAAAAAACAAAAAUAAAAAAGAGGUUAGACAAGAGAUGAGGAACAUGGAAAGAUCGUUAUAGGGUAUAAUUGGGCAUGAUCUUCAUGUGAUAUUGAUAUUUGNAGCAAGAACUAUUUCUUAUUUCUUUCCUUCAUCUAAUCUAUAAAUUAUAUUAUUGGUAUCACCGCAAGAAUUUUUUUUAUAUUUUGUAGUGCUUCCCUAGCUUGCAUUGUGUUCAAUAUUGAUUAAAUUGACCCUUGAAGUUGGCCUUGUGUUGCUGUUACAAUAACCCUGAACCUNUUGAGCAUAAUUAGAAGUAUUGGAUGUUGUCAUGUGGGUAUAUAUGAGGGGUUAGUUUGCUUAUGUUUGUGUUAUUUUUCUUCANUAUUUGAAUGUGAAUAGGAAUUUAUGUUUUAUAUUGUGGGUUGGUUGUCGUGGUUGACAAUUAAAUGUGAAGUAGGUGGUAUUUUGGUAUGAAUAUCUUAGUUGUAAUUAAAUUGAUACUGUUUUAUGAUCUCUUAUCAUUGUGCUAACACAGGGAAGAGAAAAUAGCAAAGAAAANGAGUUUUCAUGAGAGUUUUAGUGUGCAUCCGAGAGGCUGACAAUGCAAGGCAAAUGUGAGGCUUAAAGAAACAAGGAAGGGAUUAGGAAACUUAAGAGAAUCAUAGAACUUUGGCACUUUGUAUAAAUAUAUAUUACAUUUUUAACUAUACACUUUUAUUAUGUUAGUUAUUUGAAGUCAUUUUUGUAUAUAUAUAGAUUGUGUAUUUAUUAUUGUUGUUUUAAUAAAAACUCAUAGAUAUUUGGUACUAUUUUUUUGCAAUUUCACAAUUGUGUGACUC
rnacentral:lncRNA from 1 species